rnacentral:rRNA from 1 species
UGCGUAGGCGGAUUAAUAAGUCAGUGGUGAAAACCUGCAGCUUAACUGUAGAACUGCCAUUGAUACUGUUAGUCUUGGGUACGGUCAAGGUAGGCGGAAUGUGUAAUGUAGCGGUGAAAUGCUUAGAUAUUACACAGAACACCGAUUGCGAAGGCAGCUUACUGGACCAUUACUGACGCUGAGGCACGAAAGCGUGGGGAGCGAACAGGAUUAGAUACCCUGGUAGUCC